UUUUUCCAACUUGCAGUCCACACUUGGCGAUAAGAUAAUCGGCACCAUUUGACUCAAUCCGAAUAGACCGUAUGUGUAACACUGGUUAGUUAUGAUUUCUACACCCCACCCAGUCAACUACCUGCACAUCCCAAGAUACCCAUUGUUCCAUUUAUCAACAACAUAACCAGAGUGUGGAAAUUAUUCAAAUCAAUACGGCAUAAACAUUCGGACUUCUUGGGUGACAUAAAUCACACGAUCGACGCCUUACCGUCGACAGCAGACAUAAACAAUUUUCAAACUUUUAAACAAAGGGUCCAGCCUGUGAACCCAUUUGUCAGCAUAAAAGCUUCGACCAAUCCAAAUUAAGUAAACAAAAGAUGCAGCCCGGCGACGUAUAGAUCAGGCCACAGUUUCAGGAAAUCAAAAUCAUCAUCACCAUUACCCGAGCCCAAGACACCGACCAUCAAGAGCAACAAGGAGAAGACCCGCUCGCUGGACAACAGGAAAUAAUAUUGUAUAUAAAUAAAUUCAGUAUACGAUAGCAUUAAUUUCUAAAACGAAAUAUUUAAUAUUUUACAUUCAGGAAUAAAGUCUUCCAGUUAAUAGAUUUCUAA